rnacentral:rRNA from 1 species
CCUACGGGUGGCAGCAGUGAGGAAUAUUGGUCAAUGGACGAGAGUCUGAACCAGCCAAGUAGCGUGAAGGAUGACUGCCCUAUGGGUUGUAAACUUCUUUUAUAAAGGAAUAAAACGAGGCACGUGUGCCUGUUUGCAUGUAAUGUAUGAAUAAGGAUCGGCUAACUCCGGGCCAGCAGCCGCGGUAAUACGGAGGAUCCGAGCGUUAUCCGGAUUUAUUGGGUUUAAAGGGAGCGUAGAUGGGUUGUUAAGUCAGUUGUGAAAGUUUGCGGCUCAACCGUAAAAUUGCAAUUGAUACUGGCAGUCUUGAGUACAGUUGAGGUAGGCGGAAUUCGUGGUGUAGCGGUGAAAUGCCUAGAUAUCACGAAGAACCCCGAUUGCGAAGGCAGCUUACUAAACUGUGACUGACAUUGAUGCUCGAAAGUGUGGGUAUCAAACAGGAUUAGAUACCCUAGUAGUC